rnacentral:rRNA from 1 species
AACGAACGCUGGCGGCAUGCCUAACACAUGCAAGUCGAACGGGAUCCUAGCUUGCUAGGUGAGAGUGGCGGACGGGUGAGUAACACGUGGGAAUCUGCCUUUUGGUUCGGGAUAACCGCGGGAAACUGCGGCUAAUACCGAAUGCCCUCGUGAGAGGAAAGAUUUAUCGCCAGAAGAGGAGCCCGCGUCCGAUUAGGUAGUUGGUGGGGUAAAGGCCUACCAAGCCGACGAUCGGUAGCUGGUCUGAGAGGAUGAUCAGCCACACUGGGACUGAGAUACGGCCCAGACUCCUACGGGAGGCAGCAGUGGGGAAUAUUGGACAAUGGGGCGAACCCUGAUCCAGCAAUGCCGCGUGAGUGAUGAAGGCCUUAGGGUUGUAAAGCUCUUUUGUCCAGGGAAGAUGAUGACUGUACCUGGAGAAUAAGCCCCGGCUAACUUCGUGCCAGCAGCCGCGGUAAU